rnacentral:rRNA from 1 species
ACGAUGGAUAGGGGUUCUGAGAGGAAGGUCCCCCACAUUGGUACUGAGACACGGACCAAACUCCUACGGGAGGCAGCAGUGAGGAAUAUUGGUCAAUGGGCGCGAGCCUGAACCAGCCAAGUCGCGUGAGGGAUGAAGGUUCUAUGGAUCGUAAACCUCUUUUAUAAGGGAAUAAAGUGCGGGACGUGUCCCGUUUUGUAUGUACCUUAUGAAUAAGGAUCGGCUAACUCCGUGCCAGCAGCCGCGGUAAUACGGAGGAUCCGAGCGUUAUCCGGAUUUAUUGGGUUUAAAGGGUGCGUAGGCGGCCUUUUAAGUCAGCGGUGAAAGUCUGUGGCUCAACCAUAGAAUUGCCGUUGAAACUGGGGGGCUUGAGUAUGUUUGAGGCAGGCGGAAUGCGUGGUGUAGCGGUGAAAUGCUUAGAUAUCACGCAGAACCCCGAUUGCGAAGGCAGCCUGCCAAGCCAUGACUGACGCUGAUGCACGAAAGCGGGUGAAACUCAAAGGAAUUGACGGGGGCCCGCACAAGCGGAGGAACAUGUGGUUUAAUUCGAUGAUACGCGAGGAACCUUACCCGGGUUUGAACGCAUUCGGACCGAGGUGGAAACACCUUUUCUAGCAAUAGCCGUUUGCGAGGUGCUGCAUGGUUGUCGUCAGCUCGUGCCGUGAGGUGUCGGCUUAAGUGCCAUAACGAGCGCAACCCUUGCCACUAGUUACUAACAGGUAAAGCUGAGGACUCUGGUGGGACUGCCAGCGUAAGCUGCGAGGAAGGCGGGGAUGACGUCAAAUCAGCACGGCCCUUACAUCCGGGGCGACACACGUGUUACAAUGGCGUGGACAAAGGGAUGCCACCUGGCGACAGGGAGCGAAUCCCCAAACCACGUCUCAGUUCGGAUCGGAGUCUGCAACCCGACUCCGUGAAGCUGGAUUCGCUAGUAAUCGCGCAUCAGCCAUGGCGCGGUGAAUACGUUCCCGGGCCUUGUACACACCGCCCGUCAAGCCAUGGGAG